rnacentral:rRNA from 1 species
CACCAGGUCAGGACACGGUAAGGAUUGACGGACUGAAGGCUCUUUCUCGAUUCCGUGGAAAGUGGUGCAUGGCCGUUUUGGUUGGUGGAUCGAUCCGUCUGGUUAAUUCCGUUAACGAACGAGACCUCGGCACUCCGAAUAGCGCGGCGGACGUCGCGGCCUCCGGGCCGUCUUCCGCACGAGCUUCUUAGAGGGACCGUCCCCCGCCGGGGAAGGAGGUGCGAGGCAACGACAGGUCUGUGAUGCCCUUAGAUGUUCUGGGCCGCACGCGCAUUACACUGACGCGUCCAACGGGUGACUCCCGACCCGAAGGGGCCGGGGAAUCCGCAAGGCGCGUCGUGAUGGGGAUUGAACGUUGCAAUUGUUGUUCACGAACGAGGAAUUCCUAGUAGGCGCGGGUCAUCAACCCCGCGCCGAUUACGUCCCUGCCCUUUGUACACACCGCCCG